ACGUGGUGCCUUGAAUGCAUCUCCAACCUCCCCACCUUUCUCAUUCAUAUAUACAUCUUUCUCCUAAUAACAUCCCAUCAACCCUCUAUCUCCUUUCCGUAUGUUAUAACAACAUUUUAUAUAUUCUUCUUCUGAGUCCGGUUUUUUCUUUCUCUCAAGACCAUUAUACCAGAUCCAGUAAUUGAAGAGAGUAUGAGCAGCCAGAUGUCGUCGAAGCCGAACGUGGAUGGAGUGCACUGCGAUGUGAAGGUGGUGGAGAGACCAAUGAGAGAAAUUAGGCCCUACGAUCUGUUGCUGCGGUUUCUUGGCCUCUCACUCACUCUUGUAGCAACCAUCAUUGUUGGUGUUGACAAUGAGACCAAAGUCAUCUCCUAUGCCGAAAUGCAGUUCAAAGCCACUGCUAAGUGGGAAUAUGUCUCUGCUAUUGUGUUUUUCUUGGUGAUAAACGCGAUAGCAUGCUCAUACGCAGCUGCAUCAUUGGUUAUCACAUUGAUGGGAGAAGCAGUGGAAGAAAAAAUAACGAUGUGACGCUUUUGGGGCUAACAGCGCUAGAUCUUGUGAUGAUGGCUUUGUUGUUCUCAGCCAAUGGUGCAGCCUGUGCAGUGGGAGUGAUAGCACAGAAGGGCAACUCGCACGUGCAAUGGAUGAAAGUGUGCAACGUCUUUGACGCCUAUUGUCGCCACGUCACUGCUGCAUUGGUCCUCUCCCUCUUCGGCUCCACCGUCUUUCUCUUGCUCGUGCUCCUUUCUGUUCUCAAACUCCAUUACAGAACAAGAAGCUAGAUCUCAAUAUGAUACACACUAUAAUAUAUAUAUUUGUAGUGUUAAUUAAUUAAUUAAGGGUGUGAAUCGUAUUUUUGGCUUAGACCUAGCUUGCACUUAUUGUUGUGUUUGAUGAAGAACGCCAAAGCACUUAAAGAUAUAGAUAUGCCCCAAGUAGUGAUUAAAUUGAAUGUGGUUCGUUUGUAGUAAAUAUACUUUAGCAGAUGGUAGGUCGAUUUAUUUAAGAGAGCAGUAACAGUAAAUUAAUAUA